rnacentral:rRNA from 1 species
UAGGGAAUCUUCCGCAAUGGGCGAAAGCCUGACGGAGCAACGCCGCGUGAGUGAUGAAGGUCUUCGGAUCGUAAAACUCUGUUAUUAGGGAAGAACAAAUGUGUAUGUAACUCUGCACGUCUUGACGGUACCUAAUCAGAAAGCCACGGCUAACUACGUGCCAGCAGCCGCGGUAAUACGUAGGUGGCAAGCGUUAUCCGGAAUUAGUGGGCGUAAAGCGCGCGUAGGCGGUUUUUUAAGUCUGAUGUGAAAGCCCACGGCUCAACCGUGGAGGGUCAUUGGAAACUGGAAAACUUGAGUGCAGAAGAGGAAAGUGGAAUUCCAUGUGUAGCGGUGAAAUGCGCAGAGAUAUGGAGGAACACCAGUGGCGAAGGAGACUUUCUGGUCUGUAACUGACGCUGAUGUGCGAAAGCGUGGGAAUCAAACAGG